ensembl:lncRNA
UGUUAGUACAUUUUUACAUGAUAGUACAUGUUUACGCUAUAAAUCUAGUGUUUUGCAACGUUUUCUGUGAGGGUUGUGUUUAGGGCUUGGGUUAGAAGACAGAAAAUAUGAUUAACUUCAUAUAAAAAACAAUGGAGAUCUAUCAGAAGACCUCAGUAAUGUAGUCAAAUAAGCCUGUGUGUGUGUGUGUGUGUGUGUGUGUGUGUUUCAGGUCUGGAUCAGUUCUGCAGUUUUAAUCAAUCUGAUCCCUGUUACGCAGCUCUGGGACACAAACUCAAUCUGCUGAUGGUGCGAGACACUCGAGAAUAUGACCUGAGGUUACGUCACAGAAUAAAUAACACACAAGAUGAUCCAGUUUGUAGAGUAAAAUAUGGCAGGAUAAAGGAAUGUGAUCUUUAUAAUAACAGAACUGAAGUGAACAUCAUUAAUGGGACUGUGAUAAUAAAGCGUGUGAUCAGAGCAGAUUCUGGGAAUUACAGAUUAACACUCACUGACUCAGACGGCACAGACACAUCUAGAGAUCUUCAAGUGAUUGUUGAAGCUCCUAUUGGCUCAGUGGAAGUGUCAAUCAUCUGCUCCUCCAGUGGGGUGAUGAAGGUGUUCUGCUCCUCUGAGGGGGAUCAGCUCCUCUACAGCUGGACUCUGAAUGGAGAUCCACUGAUGGAUGGAAACAGCAGCAUUGAUCUGGAUGAGGGAACUGAUGGAGACAUCAGCUGCAGUGUGAAGAACCACAUCAGUCACGCACAGAAGAACAUUAGACUUAAACCCUGUCCUGGACCAACUACUGCAGCUGUGACCUCUAGUUUGACCUCUACGUCGACACAGACAGCAGAUUAUGUUUUAGAAUUCUCUCUGAUUGCUUUGGGCUGUGUUGCUCUGAUCCUGAUUCUGCUGUUCAUCACCAUAUGUUACAUUUACAAGAAGAAGCAGCUCAAGUCAACACAAGCCGCUGCUGGAGAUACAGAGCUCAUAUACGCUGAUAUCUCUCAUGAGAAAAAGAGUGAAAAGAAGAAGACAGGUAAGAAACUCAAAGAAGUUGCAGUUACACAAUGUAGAUGUUGUUAACAUUAACAAUUUGAGAACAAAGUAACAAUAAUUUGCACAGUUUGAUGUCAUCUGAGCUAACUUUGCGAUCAUUAGAUUUAAUCACCAUUGGUACACCACCUUUUUUUUUUUUCAAUUGGUCAGAACAAAAGUGACAGACAUGUUACUUCUUCAGCUGACAUUUUCUGGUGAAACUUAUUAUUUUGGACAUACUUCCAAGACUUAGUAUCUGUAAUUCUGAAAAACAGUAAAUGGUUUGGUUGGUUUGGUGACUGACAGCCACACAUACACCUCAAAACAUUAGAUUAAUCCACGCUGAGGAGAAGUGCCGAUGCACAACUCGCAUAAAGAAGACAAUUCUGCAAAUAACUGCAAUUGCAGGUUUCAAAUACAGAUGGCGACAAAGAGGCAAAACUUAUGUAAUGCAGCUUUAAACAUCAUCAAUCUUUUUGGUCUUGGGUCAUAAACUAAAUUUCCUUGUUGAAAAAUCCAGCAUAUGCUGGUUAGGUAUGUUAAGAAGCAUGGCAGCUGGUUUGAGCUGGUUUAAACUGGUCCUGAGCUGGUUUAAGCUGGUUAUGAGCUUACAGAUAAAGACAAUUAAGGAAUUAUAGAUAUUGGUAGAAACUUGUCAUAUCAUCUCUACAGCCUUAAAUAUGAAGAGUUCAAACAACAGAUUAAUGAAUUACUCCACAUUUCAGAAAAAGCUUAUGGACAUAACUAUAAUAUAAGUCAGACACUGAAGUGAGUUGCUGUUUUUGUCUCUUCUGAGGAAGAUUCAUUCACUUGUUUAUCAAUGAUCCACACAGAGAAACUUUGGUCAAGUCACCUUUAUUUAUAUAGCACAUUAAACAAAAC